UUGGGUCAUAAGAAGCCUUGUAGCUUCUGCCUUCGUCUUUUAGAACUCUCACUCUGUGGGAAGCCGGGUGCCAUGUAAAGUCUGCUACCCUGAGACUGCCAUGCUGGGAGGAAGCCCAAGCUGGCCAUGUGGGGAGGCCCACGACGAGAGAGUCCCGCCAGUCCCGCUGUUCGUGUCAUCUCAGCUGAGGCAUCAGACGUGAUAAUGAUGGAUGGAGAUGACGAUUAAACGACUCCAGCCCCCGCCUCCACCUGACUCGGACUCUCAGAGAGACCCCGGAUGACACUGCCCAGCCGAGCCUGGUCAGCUCAGACUGAAUUCUUUAGGGUUCCCUGGUGACCCUGAAGUAUGGUGCCCUAGAGGAAAGACAGGGGAAUGGUGAGUCCUUUCCUCUUCACUGGUGGCCUCCGUUACAGCAGCGACCUGGCCCUUCCUGGAUUUGUGGCCCACAUCAAGGCAGGAGAGAGAGAAGAAGGCUGAGGAAGGUGACAGCAGACGUGGUUUCCAAGGAAACAGGAAGCCGCGAGGGGAGCCUAGUGUUUGAUGAGGAAUACACGGGAAGUUGUCUUCUCUGGAGCUCCAAGCACAGGACGUCUUUGCUCGGAGUCUGUCCCGGGAUUCAUCGGCGAGGAUUCCAGCCUGUGGACCCGCCUGGUCCCGGGUGGAGGGAUGGCUGGCCUGAGUGCCGAAUGCUCCAGAAAUAAACCGAGCAAUGACACUGUGUCCAGCGCUCAGACACCGUGAUCUGAGGUGGCCGAGGUGCAAGACCUCCCUGGAGCCGUCAAGAAUCACCAUCUAAGGGGCACUUCUUUGGGGCCACACGUGACACGGGGCGGGCUGGAGCUGUAGGCACGGGUUCUCACAACCCCUCAGAGAACCCCCUGAAGGGGACGCUGUCUUCACUCGCAUUUCCCAGAUGUGGGAAUGGAGGCCCAGCCGGGUUGGGUCACUUGUCCGCGGUCGUCCAAAGCUCCCCCUGCUGUCUGCCUGCAGAAUCGGCCCCAGAUGGUCCGUCCUUGCCCGGCCACUGGGAGACGAUCUGCUG
rnacentral:lncRNA from 1 species